UACGGAGGGUGCAAGCGUUAUCCGGAAUCAUUGGGCGUAAAGGGCGCGUAGGUGGCCCGGUCAGUUCGUGGUGAAAGCGCGGGGCUCAACCCUGCGUCGGCCAUGAAUACUGCCGCGGCUGGAGCACUGUAGAGGCAGGCGGAAUUCCGGGUGUAGCGGUGGAAUGCGUAGAGAUCCGGAAGAACACCGGUGGCGAAGGCGGCCUGCUGGGCAGUUGCUGACACUGAGGCGCGACAGCGUGGGGAGCAAACAGG
rnacentral:rRNA from 1 species